GCGCCGGUGGUGUAAGGUGUAGCAUCCUGCCCGUAAAGCAGGGAUGCGAGUUCAAGUCCCGCCUUGCGCA
rnacentral:tRNA from 1 species